rnacentral:rRNA from 1 species
AUUGAACGCUGGCGGCAGGCCUAACACAUGCAAGUCGAGCGGAUGAAGGGAGCUUGCUCCUGGAUUCAGCGGCGGACGGGUGAGUAAUGCCUAGGAAUCUGCCUGGUAGUGGGGGAUAACGUCCGGAAACGGGCGCUAAUACCGCAUACGUCCUGAGGGAGAAAGUGGGGGAUCUUCGGACCUCACGCUAUCAGAUGAGCCUAGGUCGGAUUAGCUAGUUGGUGGGGUAAAGGCCUACCCAGGCGACGAUCCGUAACUGGUCUGAGAGGAUGAUCAGUCACACUGGAACUGAGACACGGUCCAGACUCCUACGGGAGGCAGCAGUGGGGAAUAUUGGACAAUGGGCGAAAGCCUGAUCCAGCCAUGCCGCGUGUGUGAAGAAGGUCUUCGGAUUGUAAAGCACUUUAAGUUGGGAGGAAGGGCAGUAAGUUAAUACCUAGCUGUUUUGACGUUACCAACAGAAUAAGCACCGGCUAACUUCGUG